rnacentral:rRNA from 1 species
CCUACGGGUGGCAGCAGUGAGGAAUAUUGGUCAAUGGCCGCAGGGCUGAACCAGCCAAGUCGCGUGAGGGAUGACGGCCCUAUGGAUUGUAAACUUCUUUUGUCAGGGAAUAAAGGGCGGCACGUGUGCCGUUUUGCGAGUACUUUAUGAAUAAGGAUCGGCUAACUCCGUGCCAGCAGCCGCGGUAAUACGGAGGAUGCGAGCGUUAUCCGGAUUUAUUGGGUUUAAAGGGGGCGGAGGUGGAAUGUUAAGUCAGCGGUAAAAUUUCGGGGCUCAACCCCGACUUGCCGUUGAAACUGGCGUUCUUGAGUGAAGUAGAGGUAUGCGGAAUGCGUGGUGUAGCGGUGAAAUGCAUAGAUAUCACGCAGAACUCCGAUUGCGAAGGCAGCAUACCAACGCUCAACUGACGCUGAUGCACGAAAGCGUGGGUAUCGAACAGGAUUAGAUACCCUAGUAGUC